CCUACGGGAUGCUGCAGUGAGGAAUAUUGGUCAAUGGGCGGAAGCCUGAACCAGCCAAGUCGCGUGAGGGAUUAAUGCCCUGCGGGUCGUAAACCUCUUUUGCCAGGGAGCAGUGGUCCGGACGCGUCCGGACCGGGAGAGUACCCGGAGAAAAAGCCUCGGCUAACUCCGUGCCAGCAGCCGCGGUAAUCCGGAGGAUGCGAGCGUUAUCCGGAUUUAGUGGGUUGAAAGGGUGCGUAGGCGGGCAUUUAAGCCGGCGUGAAAAUGUCGGGGCUCAACCCCGGCCUGCCGUCGGAACUGGGUGCAUUGAGUGGGCGAGAAGUAGGCGGAAUGCGUGGUGUAGCGGUGAAAUGAAUAGAUAUCACGCAGAACCACGAUUGCGAAGGCAGCAUACCGGCGCCCUACUGACGCUGAGGCACGAAAGUGCGGGUAUCGAACAGGAUGAGAUACCCCUGUAGUC
rnacentral:rRNA from 1 species